rnacentral:lncRNA from 1 species
CGUUCUUUUUACUACUUUACUUAUUCUCAUGAUCCCAAAACUUAUAUAACCUAUCCUAACCAUCCUCUACAGCCUACCUUCUUCAUCCCAUACUCAUUAGCCAUCAAUACUCGUUCCCACUUCUUUCACCAUUAAUAUCCAAAUCAAAUCAGUUAUGCCUUGUUAAGCGUAUAAUUGCUAUUACUUUAUUUGUUAUUUUGAAGUACUUGCGAACUGAUUAACUUUACAAUAGUGCUAAUAGGUCC